AAAAAAUAUAUACUAACCUCAAAUUAGAUUCUCCUAAUACAAUAGAACUCGAUGUGGCUCGAUUUCUUCGGAAUAACUCCUACACAAGAUCAAUAACUAUCAAAAUCCCAAAAUUUUCAAAUCAAUUUGAAUAACCCCAAUUUACUCUUAGCUCGAACAUCCCCGAUUCAACUGACAAUAAUCCAAUUUUAACACUAAACUCUAAACCUUACAAGUUGUUGUACCCAGAACAUUAAAUCAAAACCCCAAUUUCUGACCUAAAUUAAAACCCCCAAUUCUCUAACACUUUGACUGAAUUUGAACCAUCCUCACUUGUUUGAGUUGGGAAUGGAUUGAAGGAGACGAUGGAGAGGACGGCGGCGACCGGCAGCGACCGGCGAGACAAAAGCGACGGCGGCGACGCAUGCAAACGGCGGCGAUUGCUGCUGUAAUCGACGGAGA
rnacentral:lncRNA from 1 species